AUUGAACGCUGGCGGCAGGCCUAACACAUGCAAGUCGAACGAGUGGCGGACGGGUGAGUAAUGUCUGGGAACCUGCCCGAUGGAGGGGGAUAACUACUGGAAACGGUAGCUACUACUGCAUACCAUCGGAUGUGCCCAGAUGGGAUUAGCUAGUCGGUGGGGUAAUGGCUCACCUAGGCGACGAUCCCUAGCUGGUCUGAGAGGAUGACCCGGCACACUGGGACGGAGACACGGUCCAGACUCCUACGGGAGGCAGCAGUGUGGAAUAUUGCACAAUGGGCGCAAGCCUGAUGCAGCCAUGCCGUGUGUAUGAAGAAGGCCUUCGGGUUUGAAAGUACUUUCAGCGGGGAGGCGUUACCCGCAGAAGAAGCACCGGCUAACUCCGUGCCAGCCGCCGCGGUAAUAC
rnacentral:rRNA from 1 species